rnacentral:rRNA from 1 species
UACGUAGGGUGCGAGCGUUGUCCGGAAUUACUGGGCGUAAAGAGCUCGUAGGUGGUUUGUCGCGUUGUCCGUGAAAACUCACAGCUUAACUGUGGGCGUGCGGGCGAUACGGGCAGACUGGAGUACUGCAGGGGAGACUGGAAUUCCUGGUGUAGCGGUGGAAUGCGCAGAUAUCAGGAGGAACACCGAUGGCGAAGGCAGGUCUCUGGGCAUUAAACU